rnacentral:rRNA from 1 species
GACGAACGCUGGCGGCGUGCUUAACACAUGCAAGUCGAACGGAAAGGCCCUGCUUUUGUGGGGUGCUCGAGUGGCGAACGGGUGAGUAACACGUGAGUAACCUGCCCUUGACUUUGGGAUAACUUCAGGAAACUGGGGCUAAUACCGGAUAGGAGCUCCUGCUGCAUGGUGGGGGUUGGAAAGUUUCGGCGGUUGGGGAUGGACUCGCGGCUUAUCAGCUUGUUGGUGGGGUAGUGGCUUACCAAGGCUUUGACGGAUAGCCGGCCUGAGAGGGUGACCGGCCACAUUGGGACUGAGAUACGGCCCAGACUCCUACGGGAGGCAGCAGUGGAGAAUAUUGCACAGUGGGCGGAAGCCUGAUGCAGCAACGCCGCGCGCGGGAUGACGGCCUUCGGGUUGUAAACCGCUUUCGCCGGUGACGAAGCGUGAGUGACGGUAAUGGGUAAAGAAGCACCGGCUAACUACGUG